rnacentral:lncRNA from 1 species
AACAAACAAAAUUUUUAAAAAAUAAUCUAUGUAAGACACUCAUAAUCUAAACAAAAACGGAUGUCCACUCUAAACAUCCCAUUAGGUACUCGUGUGUUUCAUAUAUCAUAUUUCUUUAAACAAAUAUCAUAGUAUGAAUAUUCUCAAACACCAAUAUCUCACUAAAACAACUUGCAAUUCAUAUUUUUAAGUCGAUAUUUCAGUUUUACGAUAUUGGUAUUUUUGAGAUAUUGGUAUUUGUAUUUCAGUAAAUCAGCACCAGCACGUCAGAAAAUGAGUCACCCGAUGAGAUAUUGGUGUUUUGAACACAGAUGUUGCACCAAGGCACCAUUGAAAUUUAAGAACCGGCCCCUAGAUCAAUAUAGGACCCUCUAUUUUGUGUGCUUUGGGAGGUUUUUUGAAAUGAAAUGUUUACGUAGCAUAUCUCUCCGAUUGUAGUUUGACAAUAUUUAAUUUGCAAAAUGAAUUUGAUUCAUGAGAUGAACAUUGUAUAAAAAAAUAUAUAUCAAAUUUGUCGGGGAAUCCAUUAAAUUGCCCUAAUAGAUGAAGAGUUUGAUACUCCCACAUAUUUUUAUUUAAUUUCAAAAUAUCCACAAAAGAACAUACGGCAUUGAGUAGAAAUAGUUGCAAUUGGGCAAAAUAUUAAAUACUUCACCUAUUAGAAAUGUUUUUAACAUUUUUUUGUUUUUAAAUAAGCAAAUAGUAUAGAAAUUUGAUUUCUUAAAACAACUAUUUGAUCUUCCAAAUAGAUUAUCUGCAUUCACUCUUGGGGCAUUUCUUUAUUUUUAUUUUUAUUUCCUAUAAUAAGUGGAUAUGCAAAUUUUGGAGGUCCA